rnacentral:rRNA from 1 species
UGCUACCCGCUGACGAGCGGCGGACGGGUGAGUAAUGCUUAGGAAUCUGCCCAGUAGUGGGGGAUAGCCCGGGGAAACCCGGAUUAAUACCGCAUACGUCCUACGGGAGAAAGCAGGGGAUCUUCGGACCUUGCGCUAUUGGAUGAGCCUAAGUCGGAUUAGCUAGUUGGUGGGGUAAAGGCCUACCAAGGCGACGAUCCGUAGCUGGUCUGAGAGGAUGAUCAGCCACAUCGGGACUGAGACACGGCCCGAACUCCUACGGGAGGCAGCAGUGGGGAAUAUUGGACAAUGGGGGCAACCCUGAUCCAGCCAUGCCGCGUGUGUGAAGAAGGCUUUCGGGUUGUAAAGCACUUUCAGUAGGGAGGAAAACCUUAUGGCUAAUACCCAUGAGGCUUGACGUUACCUACAGAAGAAGCACCGGCUAACUCCGUGCCAGCAGCCGCGGUAAUACGGAGGGUGCAAGCGUUAAUCGGAAUUACUGGGCGUAAAGCGCGCGUAGGUGGUUUGGUAAGCGAGAUGUGAAAGCCCCGGGCUUAACCUGGGAACGGCAUUUCGAACUGUCAGACUAGAGUGUGGUAGAGGGUAGUGGAAUUUCCUGU